rnacentral:rRNA from 1 species
CUACGGGAUGCAGCAGUGGGGAAUAUUGCACAAUGGGCGCAAGCCUGAUGUAGCCAUGCCGCGUGUAUGAAGAAGGCCUUCGGGUUGUAAAGUACUUUCAGCGGGGAGGAAGGGAGUAAAGUUAAUACCUUUGCUCAUUGACGUUACCCGCAGAAGAAGCACCGGCUAACUCCGUGCCAGCAGCCGCGGUAAUACGGAGGGUGCAAGCGUUAAUCUGAAUUACUGGGCGUAAAGCGCACGCAGGCGGUUUGUUAAGUCAGAUGUGAAAUCCCCGGGCUCAACCUGGGAACUGCAUCUGAUACUGGCAAGCUUGAGUCUCGUAGAGGGGGGUAGAAUUCCAGGUGUAGCGGUGAAAUGCGUAGAGAUCUGGAGGAAUACCGGUGGCGAAGGCGGCCCCCUGGACGAAGACUGACGCUCAGGUGCGAAAGCGUGGGGAGCAAACAGGAUUAGAUACCCUCGUAGUC